UGCGGUUAUUGGUUGCGUUCCCGCUAUUACACAUCAUGCCAUAAACGCGGAUUCCGGGCACACGAGCGUAGGCCGGCUGGUCAUGGCUCAUGGGCCCAUCUGCAAGAUUGGUGUGAACGGUGUAACAUCUGGUGUUCGUUGAAAAUCGAAAUAAAAUGCCUUGGCCGACUAGUGUGAUCGGCUACCCUACGAACAGCUCACCGGUUGAAUAGAGUAAGAUUUUCCGUAGCGUUUUCUACAUGAACUUACAGCUUCCUUGUACGUGGCAGUAAAAAAAGGGCCCUUAUGUACACGAAAUUCGAGGCCUACCCCCCUAAUUCCCGCCUGAAGGAGGAUAUGGGAAUAAUUAGAGAAACACAAGAAUAAG